AGUCGGAUGCUUUGGCAGCACACUCAGGACAGCCAGGGCUGCAGACAUGGCCUCCAAAUUCAGUCUCAGUUACCCCAGGCAGAACACGGGAAUUGACCCUUCCAACUCCUCCACCUGCCUCUCGAUCCCAGAAUCUUGCCACCUGCUCCAGAUAACAUGUUUCAAAGUGGCAAAUUUCCCCUAAGAAUUGGAAAAAUGGAUAAUACGGACUGGGGUUGGAGAGCCCGGGAUUCUGAUUAAACAUGGAAUCUGAGAACUGGCAGAAAGCCUGGAACUGAUGGAAGAGAGGGCUCUAGGGCCUCCAUACUAAAUGGUGAACUAGGAACUAUAAAAGAGAUAAUGUGGUGAAGAGCUUCAGCCAUCAAGUUAUUCUAAAAAUGAAGUAGGGCAUUUUAUAUGUGGAGAGAAGGGCACUGAUUAUUAUCUGACUAUUGCUAAUAUGUCCCAUAGAACUUAUUUGGAAUAAUUUUUUACUAUUAAUUUGAACAACAGCAGUGAGACUCUUUAUAUGUAUAAUAAAGCUAAUUUUACAUUUAAUAGAGAUGAUUUUAUUUUUUAAUGUUAGUAAAAUCAGAAUCUUAUUAAAUUGUAAAAGUGAAUAAAACUUUUAUAACUUUUGGAUUUUCUUUGUGGGUUCUAUUUGCUGUUUAAAAUGCUGUUGCUUCAAUCCCUUUAGAUUAGGUUCAAUUUUAUGGUGCUCACUUCUUUUCUUUUAGACAUAUCUCAAUUGUUUGAAAAAAUGUAGCAUUUUUAUGGCAAGCUGUUUAAUACAUCCAUUUUCACAUUAGCUCUCAUGGUUUUAACCAAAUGCUAGUGGUUUGUUAUUUUUCUUAUCAACAAGGAAUUGAGGAUGCUUGAUUUAAGAUAUAUAAUAGCUAUCAUUUUAUGAAGCGUUUACUGUAUGCCUGGUCCUGGGUUAUGCUCCACGUGCUAUCAUUUAAUCCUUAAAACAGCCCUGAGGCACUACUAUUAUUUCUAUUUUAUAUUAUAGAUGAGAAAACAGAGCCUUUGAAAUUUAAGUUAUUUGACUGAUGUCCCACAGCUAGUAAAUGGCACAGCUAUCAUUAAAACCCAAGUCUUACUGCCUCCAAAGCCACUCUCUUAUAGACUGCAACUUUAACCUGUUUCAUAAUUGAUUCUUAAGUUUCUAGUUCUAUGACCUUCACUGUGCCUAGCUAAGCCAUCACAGACCAUGUGCUAUUACUAUCCCUCAAACAUCUCAAACAUCAGCCAGCCUGUGGGCAUAUAUAUUUAAGCAAGUUGGAAACAGCCAAGUUGGGUACCCCUUAACAGGCAUGUUCCUCAUGCCUUAUUUGAGGUUGAUAAAUCACCAAUAUCUUUAUCAACUUAAAUGAUUGCAAUGUCCUCUCCAAAAGAGAUGACCUUACUAAGUGUCAUUUCUUGGUAAAUAAAGCUCUGCUGCUGUUGACUUUUGAUUCAUCAUCACACUGAUAUUUAGUGUCAGUGAGGAGUAUGCUGGACGGGGCCGCAGUCUUGAGCUCUUACAAAAGGAAACAGGUGGCUGGUCACUUUGGACAUAUUCCCUCUGGCAGAGGUAUAUUUAAAAGCCUGGGGGAAGGUUUUGGUCAUGAGCAAGCCAUGGAAUUGAGGGAGAGGAAGAGUUUUUGCCAAUUUCUCCAAGUCAAGUGUGUGAAAGGAGACACCUAAUCUCUGCUUAUAGCACUUGCACCCUCGCAGUUUCAUGAGACCCACAUUAACGAAAGCUGGACAGAUUUGUCCUCAAGAACCACAUGCUCCAUGGAAAAAUAUUACCUACCGAUUGAUUAAAAGACCCGUUCUUUCAG